rnacentral:lncRNA from 1 species
UAGACUCAGGUAUCCCAACCUUCUUUCUCUCUCGCACUCAAGAACCGAAGCUUCUCCAACCAGCACCGAGACUCCGCCUCACCAGCAGUCGCACCACCUCCGUCAAAUCGCCGGAUGUCUUCCUCCGAAACCACCACCAGCGACAUCGCCCCUUCUCCUCCCUUCCGUAGCAGCCAAGGGUUGGGGCUUUCCUUCCCCGCUAUCACCAAACCCAUCGUCGGCAACUCCUUUAAGGGCAUCCACCUCGCCAGAAACCCUAGGGUUUUCUCACCCCCCAAACCCUGAAGGCUAAUCUCGCGUGCGAGAGGGAGACAUCUCCACCAACGGUGAUUCGCCCUUGCUGCCGUCAUCGAGGAACUGACCACCGCCGCUUGCAGUCCACAAACUCACCAUGAACCACCAGGGAUGCCUCCAACCACAGUAACGAAUCAGUUUUGCCCCGCCACCUAUUGCGUAUGAACGGGAGAUUCCUUCACUUCCAAACAGCGAGCACUUACUGUUAUUCGUUAACGGAGAAUCGAAACCCUUUCUCGUCGAACACUAUUCAAGCGAAACAACAAUCGAACGUCCUGAACGUACCAGAGAUUAAUCUCCUCCACAGCUGCCAUCACCCUGAAUCUUUCCAUCAACCUAACUGCCGAACCCCUGAGCAACUUCUUUCUUCUAUUGCUAAAUCUAUUUGGCUGAGUGAAUUUCUCAUUACCGAUUGAAUUUUAUUGAUGGUUUGUAUUGGGAAAAAAUUUGAGCAAUGGAAAUUGUCUGAUGAAGAAAAACUGCGAUGAAAAUGGUUUUUGUUGUAUGACUUUCUGCAUUUCAGGUAGUUGGGGAAGACAGGUUGAUAGUAUAAUGGAGGCACUUGUGUGUUUGUAUAUUGGGUAAUACUGGGAAGAAACUCAAUGCUCACAACACCAUGCUCAACAAUACAACAGUGCAUUCAUCAGUAACAUACGACAAUUUUUCAUAACAUGGAAUAGAAAAUUACCUCUUGGAGCUCUUGUAGUUGAUCCUGGAUAUCUCCGGUGAUCGGUGAGAGUAACCAGACUCCUCCAGGUAGCUUCUGCUCUGUGACUUUUUGUUUUUUUGCCGAGACCCUUAAACCACUUCUCUUUUCUUUUCAGCUUUCCCUCUCUCUUUGUUCCUUAACCAAUUUUCGUUCCCUUCCACCACUACCAAUUCUGUUUUUUUCCUUGCCAACUCAUCACACCCCUGCUCCCUCACACCCAACACACACAAAUCAAAUCUUUUCCUCCACGUGUUUUCCACACGUUUUUUCUUCUCUC